GAUGAACGCUGGCGGCGUGCCUAAUACAUGCCAGUCGAGCGAACAGACGAGGAGCUUGCUCCUCUGACGUUAGCGGCGGACGGGUGAGUAACACGUGGAUAACCUACCUAUCAGACUGGGAUAACUUCGGGAAACCGGAGCUAAUACCGGAUAAUAUAUUGAACCGCAUGGUUCAAUAGUGAAAGACGGUUUUGCUGUCACUUAUAGAUGGAUCCGCGCCGCAUUAGCUAGUUGGUAAGGUAACGGCUUACCAAGGCAACGAUGCGUAGCCGACCUGAGAGGGUGGUCGGCCACACUGGAACUGAGACACGGUCCAGACUCCUACGGGAGGCAGCAGUAGGGAAUCUUACGCAAUGGGCGAAAGCCUGACGGAGCAACGCCGCGUGAGUGAUGAAGGUCUUCGGAUCGUAAAACUCUGUUAUUAGGGAAGAACAAAUGUGUAAGUAACUAUGCACGUCUUGACGGUACCUAAUCAGAAAGCCACGGCUAACUACGUG
rnacentral:rRNA from 1 species